rnacentral:lncRNA from 1 species
AAAUAUUCAAUAUGGCGGAGUCGAAAGAGGGAAGGAGUAGCGAUUGUUCGUCUCCUUUACUUCAAAAUAAUCAAGAAACCUUUGCAGUUAAAGAGUCGCAGACCAAAAUGGGGUAUAAUGGUACGCAUCUCAAGUCAUCUCUUUCCUUUUGUUGGUCUGAAUUUAAGUGAUACGCACAGUACAUUGUUCCCAUAGUGCUGGUUAACGCUGUUAUUAUUCUGGUUCUGGUUCUCCUAAUAUAAUAAUAAUGGUACAAAUUUCUGGCUCUUAUUCAUGGGAAGUCAUGACUCCAGUGCUUUAGCCUUAUUAGAGUAGUCCCGACUUAUCAACUUUAGAGCAUACUCCGCCCUAAUUUUAUAAAUUAUUGGCAGUUUACUGUUAUGGCAAUGCUGAAAUACUGGAUGGCUACGACAUUGUAAAAACCACUCUAACUGAACAACCAGAGCGAUGGAUCGAUAGACUGCACUACAAAGGCAGUUUUAAAGCAAGUUGACCAUUUCACUGUACCUUAACAACCCUGGUAUGAAUUAUGACGGUCACAUCCAAAACUGUCAGUAAACUAGACGAUGUGAUUUGAAGGUAUACCUGCCAGCCAAUGGUACAAAGAUGUAGAUACUCUGCUUUAAGGUCACAAUACUAUCUCUGCCAGUUACUAGCACAGUGAUAUCGUAAAUACUCCGGUAUAGGGUCACGAUCACUAUCAUGCCUGUCGCUGGUACAGAAAUCUCGUAGAUACUCCGGUAUAGGGUCACGAUCGCUAUCCCUGUCAGUCACUGGUACAGGAGUGUCGUAGUUACUCCGGUAUAGGCUAGUAUAUAACGCUGUAGUAAGAAUGAUUUAUGAAUUAUAGAGCGCACUUCCUAUAUUGUAUAUAAUCAAAGGUGCUUAUAAUCGUGGUUAGUAUGAUGUGUACGCCCUCAGUGGUUCUCAGUGUGUCACAAACUCGAUCGAAAUAUAUCGUCGAAUAUCUAAAAACUCUAAAUCGGUGAUUUUUCCACUGUAAUUCCAGGUCAACUAAAUCUAGAGAGUAUCAAAAAAUGAAGGCCUGUCUUCGAGCAAACUUUUUAGAAAAUCCACUAAGUGUCCAUUAUUGAGGUACUUUUCAUUGGUUGGGCUUCCUGUUGUAGAGCUAUUUCAAUAUGGCGGCUAAGUUUUUGAAAUGUUGGCUUUGAAAACGACAGUUUGCGCGGAGCCGGACGUGACGUCGUUUGGUACAGUACGUUUUUUAUUGCCUGAACAUCUUGUGAUUUUGCAUAAACUAAAGAGAAUCACUCAUUAUCAAGAUUUGUUUUUUUUAGCUGUCAUAUGUUUUCUUGCUUGAUCGAAGUCAUGUUUAAAAUUGGUUACAUGUAUAAUGAGUGCAGUUGUAGCCUGAUAUACAAUUCCCCCUACCCUACCCCACUAGCUUCAUGGCUGUACAAUAGAUCGAAUGUAUGAUACACUCGCCUGGUUUCGUGGAAGCGUAAAUCUGAUAUAAGACUAUGAGAAAAAAGAAAAAACGUUUUAAAGUAUAUAUAUAUAAACUGUCGUUUGUCACGCCAUCAGCUCACAUAAUCCGCUUUGACAGGUUUGAUCCCUGCUUAUUUACAAAGUAAUACAAACUUUCAAGCAUACUCAGUAUGUGAAAAUACUAUGUGAUAAGCUGGAUACCACUAGUGAGGAAUAGUAACGUUUAUAGAGCAUGUUAACAGUCAUUUAUGAUUACUAAGUUUACUACGCACCGAGGCAAGCAAGCUGAGUGUCUUCAACACCGGAAGUGUAGGCUUAACUUCAACAAAUAAUCGUUUAAAAUAAUAACAAAGGCCAAUCAUGCUUAUAGUCCUUAGAUAGGCUAAUGUUUGGAUUAAUAAGCUGUAAAAACUAUUUUAGAUGACUUUUUUCGCGGCCGUGAUCUGUGGUGUGGAGAUGUAAACAAACUGCUAAUUUGCAUAUUUACAUGGCAAAUUUUUCCAACUUCGCAUAAAGUUUUCAUAAGGCCUGUGGAAAAACCCAAACUAAUUUUUGUAGUUCGUGUUAUUUUAUUAUUUGAACAUUGUACAGCUUGAGUUUUGUAAAAAUUGGAGAAUGGCCACAUGCGAAAAUCGCUUUUAUAAAUGUGAGGUAAAAUCGAGACUGUGAAUAACUGUGCUGGAAGAAUGCAAUUUUUUCUAAAGUUUAGUUUAAAACGUCUAAAAUCACCUGGAACAAUUGUUCAACACCCCUUUUCUUGAAUUCAGUUGCAAAUUUGAUUGUAACUUGGGUUUUCACUCUUGGAGCGAGAAUGGUUUUGAAAGCGUAAUUCGCAGCCGUUUCUUGAGCAAUUUUUAGACCGACACGGGGUGAAAUCGUUUUUUUCAAAAAAAUCCGGAUUUUUUACGUAGAUCGAAAAACCGACCCCAGUACGUUCAUAAACUCAUCAAACAGUGUCUACAGACCAAAAAUGAAGGGCUUUUAUUUUUUUGAUUGUGGCCACAAAUUUUCGAUUUUGCUCGAUAUUUCUGGACAGUCGCUCUUAAAUCGUUUUGAAACCUCAGUUAGGGAAGGUACGUUUUUUAUUUUUGGGGAGGGGGGGGGGGAAUAAAAAUAAACUUAAAAAAAGUUGUUGCCCUCCCCCUUUCAUUCAGUAAGAAAUUCAUGACCCUCAUUAGGUACUUUAAUGAAGUAGCACUCGAGUACGGUACAAUUCAGUGCUUUAAUCUUGAACAACUCAACAACAUGGCUGCUCUAGGAUUCCCGCGCUCUGAGUCACGAGACUCGCACCCAGGUUACUACAGUUACCGAGGCAAACGAGCGCCAAAGGCGGGAGCAACUAGCGCGGUUCAGAGUAAUGCACCCCCGGAAAAUUUUGAAAUUGUAACCCUCGGAAAAGUGAUUGCCAUAGUUCCGAGGGGUAUUUGUGACAUUUUACCAAGGCAACUGCCUAGCUUGCCUCAUAGUUGAUAAGGCCCUGCAAGGAAACCGCUUUUCUCGAAAUUAAUAAGUUUGAUCCUUCAAAAAGUUCAAGUUAUUACUGAUAACCCUCCUCUCUGAAGUCCCCAGCCAACACAACACAAUAGUUUAUUUGCACUCAAGGAGGAAAGAAUUCCAUGAAACAUAAAUUUAAAAAUUGCAAAAAAACGAGCACAGCUACCUAAAAUAGCUGAAAAGCUAAUCGAGUUAGCCAGCCCUUCCCGCCCACCCCCCAAUAAAAAACAUACCUUCCCUUAACUCCCAUUCAAUGGCAUGAAGUCGAAGCUUCAGUGGAACUCACAUAACAGGUCGCGUAAGGGGAAGUCAGACGUGUUCUCAAUUGAUUGGUUCGAAAUAGACGCAUGAUUGUGAUGCCAUGUAACCAUUUCACCUUAAGUCAAGCAGUUGUGUCAAAAACAAAAACAAAAACAAAACAAAAAAAAAAAAACCA